UGUAGUGAAGACUACCACUCUCUUUGCCACCGUCCCUAAAGACAUGGAUGACAUGACCUGCAGGACUAAUCUUUGUGGCCGAGGCGGCUUGGACGAGGAGAUCCAUCAUCGGAGUCCUACACAGAAAACUAAGUUGUGGAAUAAACAAACCUAACAGAUAUUUUUUUCUGUAGAAGUACCAGUUAUUUGGGAACUGACUUAUAAUUAAUUUUGUCAAGGCUUGCUAACUUGAAACGGAGAGAGAACUUCUUAUCAAUGAAGAGCUACUGAUAACAUGAUACUGAAGUUAUUGACAACUUUUUCCAAAUAUCUGUGAAGUUCCG